GUGCGACGUGAAAGUUGCACCACAGAAGUCCCUUGAAACAGGGUAAGUUUGAUCCGAAACCUUAUUGCCACCUUCUCGGUGCAAGAGGAGUAAUUUUUUUGUGCUAAGCGAGAAUGAAAGCCUAACUAA
rnacentral:autocatalytically_spliced_intron from 1 species